rnacentral:pre_miRNA from 14 species
GGUGUGUGUGUGUGUGUGUGUGUGUGUGUGUGUGUUUUCCAAUGGAAUUCCGCCUGUCUUUUCUCACACACACACACACACACACACUCGUCUC